rnacentral:rRNA from 1 species
UGGGGAAUAUUGCACAAUGGGCGCAAGCCUGAUGCAGCCAUGCCGCGUGUAUGAAGAAGGCCUUCGGGUUGUAAAGUACUUUCAGCGGGGAGGAAGGGAGUAAAGUUAAUACCUUUGCUCAUUGACGUUACCCGCAGAAGAAGCACCGGCUAACUCCGUGCCAGCAGCCGCGGUAAUACGGAGGGUGCAAGCGUUAAUCGGAAUUACUGUGCGUAAAGCGCACGCAGGCGGUUUGUUAAGUCAGAUGUGAAAUCCCCGGGCUCAACCUGGGAACGGCAUCUGAUACUGGCAAGCUUGAGUCUCGUAGAGGGGGGUAGAAUGCCAGGUGUAGCGGUGAAAUGCGUAGAGAUCUGGGGGAAUACCGGUGGCGAAGGCGGCCCCCUGGACGAAGACUGACGCUCAGGUGCGAAAGCGUGGGGAGCAAACAGG